rnacentral:lncRNA from 1 species
AUAUAUAUAUAUAUAUAUAUAUAUAGGGGUUUGCUAACUUGCGUACGCCUGUUUUUCAGUUGGUACAUUUUAGCAAUGUGUACCGGGUUUCAGUAGACAAAACUAUCCUUAUAUCAUGAAUUCUGAAUUUUAAGGUUAAGGAUAUUUUAAUAAUUUUCAUUCUUAAAACUAAAAAAAUAAAAAAACCCUUAAACUCUUACCCACCUCUCUCAUCCCUCUCAACCUUUUCUCUUUCAUCUCUUUCACUCCAACCUUUUCUCUGUUAUCCCUACUCUAGUCUCAAUUGAAAAAAAAUCAGAAACACUUGCCUUAUUUUAAUAAUUUUCAUUCUCAAAACUAAAAAAAAGAAACCCCAAACCCUUACUCACCUCCUUCAUUCCUCUCAACCUUUUCUCCUUCGUCUCUCUCACUUAAACAUAUAUAAAAGACUAAUAUUUGAAAUAAUGUAAUAAAAAUUCAAC